rnacentral:rRNA from 1 species
AACGAACGCUGGCGGCAUGCUUAACACAUGCAAGUCGAACGUGAUCCUUGCCUUCGGGCGGGGUGAAAGUGGCGGACGGGUGAGUAACGCGUGGGAACCUGCCUGGUGGUUGGGGAUAACUGCGGGAAACUGCAGCUAAUACCCGAUGCGCCCCUGGAGCGAUCCGGGGGAAAGAUUGAUCGCCAUCGGAGGGGCCCGCGUCGGAUUAGGUAGUUGGUGGGGUAACGGCCUACCAAGCCUUCGANCCGUAGCUGGUCUGAGAGGAUGAUCAGCCACACUGGGACUGAGAUACGGCCCAGACUCCUACGGGAGGCAGCAGUGGGGAAUAUUGGACAAUGGGCGCAAGCCUGAUCCAGCAAUG